GAGUGCUCGGAGCGUGGAUUAACUCCAGUCUCCAAUCAGGUAAUUUCCAACCUUAGACGGAUCGGAGCUGCGAGGGGCUCGGAGGAAGCCACACACACUGUUUAUUUUAUAGUUUUGAUUAUUACUUUUAAAUGUUUUAUGUGGGUUGUAGUAAAGCCUUUGUAAUUUUCUGGAUUUCAAAUUUGAAAUUUUACUUGUUGUUCUUAUAAUUGGUAGUAUUAGAACACGGUUUUCCAAA